UUGUACCCGGUACCGGGUCUCGGCGCAGGCGUUGCGAGCUUGGAUGGGAGAGAUGCUGGGAGCGCGCCAGUACCCAACCUUUCGGACAGUCUUCCAGCCCACCCUGCCCUCUAACCAAAGGGGAGGGAGACAGCGCUGAAGGGAAGCGCUUUGUCUCCUUGACAACUGUGUGGGUGGGGUGGAGGCGUGAGGAAACCGCUUUGCCUCCUGGCUUGCCCGCCCCUGCGCUGGGCCGCUCCAGAGCUUCCCACCUCGCACCCCUAGAGGCUGGGCGUCCUGGGGAUGUCCCGCCCCGGGCGGAUGCAGUAACCAUAGCGACCCACAAGCCUUCCAGUCACGCCUUGGGGGCCCCUCUGUGCGCACCUUUACCUCGAGGAGCGGGGAAAAUAAGAGGGAAGAGCUUCCUGGCUGGUAGGAAGGGAGAUCCUGACGCCGGCACGACUUUAAGCAAGUGCAUGGAGACAGGAAUGAAGCCAGAACGCAGGUGGGGUGAGCCGCAUGGCAGGAUGAUGGAGCUCAGUCCGGCUGAGAAGUGUGUUCGUUAGCAUCCUGCAGGAGUCCUCAAGGUCAUUCGACAAUUGGUGCUUCAUUCAUCGACUCAAUAAAUAUACAUGAGCACUUACACAGUUCCUGGUACAAUGAACAUAAAAGCUA
rnacentral:lncRNA from 1 species